rnacentral:rRNA from 1 species
GUGGGGAAUAUUGCGCAAUGGGGGAAACCCUGACGCAGCGACGCCGUGUGAGGGAAGAAGGCUUUCGGGUCGUAAACCUCUGUCAGAAAGGAAGAACCUCCCAAGUCCGAAUAGGGCUUGGGACUGACGGUACUUUCAAAGGAAGCACCGGCUAACUCCGUGCCAGCAGCCGCGGUAAUACGGAGGGUGCAAGCGUUAAUCGGAAUCACUGGGCGUAAAGCGCGCGUAGGCCGCUUUGUAAGGCGGACGUGAAAGCCCUCGGCUCAACCGGGGAACUGCGGUCGAUACUGCGAGGCUUGAGUCCUGGAGAGGGUGGCGGAAUUCCGGGUGUAGGAGUGAAAUCCGUAGAUAUCCGGAGGAACACCGGUGGCGAAGGCGGCCACCUAGACAGGUACUGACGCUGAGGCGCGAAAGCGUGGGGAGCAAACAGGAUUAGAUACCCGGGUAGUCC